UCAAACUUUGUGAUCCUCCUGCCUCAGCCUCCUGAGCAGCUGGGACUCGGGUGUGUGCCACCGCACGCUGUUCCCUGGUUAUCUUCUUAAUGGUCAGCACUCACAUGUAACCUCUCCUAAUUUUUCUUUAGAAUGGAAUCUAUUGUCUAAUGAAAAUGAUCCUCUUCUCAAAUUUUUGUUCAUACUCCAAAAAGGUUAUAUGUACUUUCUAAAAUCCUUUAGUCAUUUUGCAUUUAUAUAAAUCUAAAUCUUAUAUGGUAUUUGUUGUUAGGGACAGAAGUGUCUUUUCAUAAGUGAGUACCAUGGUCAUAGUAGUGACUGGGAGUAGAGGAUGUUCUCUUUGUGACAUGGGACACUUUGGUUUUGGCACCUGAGAGCUGAAACAGCACAUCUGGCUGUGUUGAUCUUGAUUUCCUUGUCCUGAGGCAUCAGAAGAGCAUCAAAUAAUUGCCUCCUUGGCUCUACCUCUUCUUCCGUCCCACAUUCUACUCUUAAUUGCCUCAGUGCCCUAUGUGUUAAGGAAAAAGGCUAGGGACCAGAGAUCUAGCAUUAAAAACCUUGGUUACCAGUUGGAAGGUGGAGAGAAUUCUUGUGUAGUUUCAGUCAUUUACUUAAUGUAUUUUAUUGCUGGCCUUGUUUUGAAUUAUAUUUCUUUCCUUUUUCUUCCUUCUCCCCCUCCUCUUCCCCCUCCCUCCCCUCCUUCCUUUUUUUUCCUCUCUUUUCUUUUUAAGUGGUACUGUGGAUGGAUCCCAGGCCUUGGGUAUCAUGGAGUCUACCACUGAGCCACAUUGGCCUUUAAUCUUUGUGAUAUUAUGCCAAUGUCUUGUUUCUUACAAUGGAAGCUGACGUUUUUAUAGGGCUUUGGGUUUCAUAAAAUUAGGUAGGAUCUACUUCUUGCCAUUAAGGAAUAUCGAGUCUGAUAGGGAAGUUAAGACAUGCAGUGUACACAAAUAAAAAAUAUCAAGUAGAAGGCAGAUCCUGUAUGAUAGAUAAUAACAGAGCAGUGGAGACAUUUUUAAGGAGGACCUGUUGGGAGAUCAGAGGAAGCUUCUUGGAGAAGGAGAAAGCUGCCAUUUAAACCAUAGCCCCAAAGCCUGGGAGUGACAGACACACUCACAGGAGCAGGAGAGCAGUGGUAUAGACUGUAAUCUCCCUGGGGGAGGGUAGCUCAGUGGUAGAGCACUUGCAUAGCAUGGGCAAGGCUCGCUUUCCAUCCUCCGCACGGCAAAACAAGUAAUAGAUGGUUGUCAUGAUAUGUGUCUGUAGUUUGAGCACUUGGAGGCUGGGGCAGGAAGAUUGCUUCAGCCCAUAAGUUCAAAGACAACUUGGGCAACAUAGCAAGACCUCACCCCCCCCCCAAAAAAAAAAAAAAAGAAAAAGAAAAAGAAAAAAUGUAGUUUGUAUUUGACAGUUUUGUGGUCUUGAGCAAAUUUUUUAACUUCUUCAGGCUUCGAUUUUUUUUUUCUUUAGUCCUGGGGAUUGAACUUAGAGCUUCACACAUGCUGGGUGAACACUCUACUGUUGAGCUAUAUCCCAGCCCUUUUUAAAUUUUAUUUAUUUUAAAUUGCCCAGGCUGGCCUCACUCUUGUUAUCCUCUAGUCUCAGCCUCCCAAGGAGCUGGGAUUAUAGACAAGCUACACUGUGACCAGCUCAAGCCUCAGCUUUCUAAUCUAUAAAUUGAGAAUAAUGGUAGUACUGCCCUCAUUCAGUAUCAUGUGUAUCAAAUGAGUAUCGAUACAUGGAAAGCUCUUAAAACACUGCAACAGAGUUAAGGACCAACACGCAGCUCUGUGGAGGAGGAGAGUAUUCUAAACAAAGAGAACAGCCUCAGCAAAAGAAGGAAAAUAGAACUAUUAUUCUUGGAUGAAACUAAAACAUAAAGCAAAUGGAGAGAAUUAAUGCUGAUAAUAAUAGGAACUUCCACUGCUGUGCUGAGCCGUGUGUGCAUUGUUCCUUUUCUCUUCCCACCUAUUCCUUAUGGGUUACCUGUGACUGUCCCCACCCCACAGAUGAGGAAACUGAGGCAGAGAGAGGUUAAGGAACUCCCACGGGGGCACACAGAGAGUGGGUGGAAGUGUCAGGAAUCAGAGCCGCGUCUGCUCGCUGUGUAAGCCUGGUCCUCAGCACCGCACCCUAUAGCCAUUUGCUUUCCUUGGUACCUUCCCAGUCCUCUCCUCCCAAUGCCAUGGGACAGAAAGGGAAAGAUGCCUGGUUCUCCUUCACCGCCAGUCAGUCUUGUCACCUGUUAAGUCACUUUCUCAUUUCAGGACAAUUUUUCUCUCUCCUUUUUUAUUUUUUUAUUUUGAGACAAAGUCUGCCAAAUUGCCCAGGCUGGCCUUGAACUUGGGAUCUUCCUGUUUCAGCCUCCCAAGUUGCUGGGAUCAUAGGCAUGCAUCACUGUGCCCAGCUUCAGUUUCCUUUUGAAGUGAAGGAGAUGAGAAUGCUCCAGAGCCCUUUCCAGCUUCGAGGACCCUGAUUUCUUUUGCUCCCCUUCCUCCCUUUGAAGCUGGUCUUUAUUUGGCUCUCCUGUUGCCAUUCUGGCCCCCAAACAUCCUGAUGCUAGAAAUGCACAGGAAGGAGAGACCACAGCAUCCAGGUCUCUUGAUACAAACCUGCCUGCAGGUGAAAAGAAACAAAAACAAAAAAAUAAAAACCAACCAACCUCGGGCUGGGAUUGUGGCUCAGCAGUAGAGCACUCGCCUAGCACGGGCGGGACCCAGGUUUGAUCCUCAGCACCAUAUAAAAAUAAAGGCAUAAAAAAAAAAGGUUCUCUUUCUCUUCUUAAAAACAAACAAA
rnacentral:lncRNA from 1 species